rnacentral:snoRNA from 1 species
AGCCAAUGAUGUUUUAAGAGUAGUGGACAGAACAGUUUUCUGAAAACCUUACACUGAGGCU